rnacentral:lncRNA from 1 species
UGGUUUAUGCACUGUCAUUUGGAGAGGCACAUCAGCUGGGGAAUGGCCACUGUACUCAUUGUGACAAAUGGAAACACCACUGAAACCAGCAUGCUCCCAACACCUGCUUAUAUGCCUCCUUGUAAAUAAAUAUUGAAAUUUACUUUCUCUUUCAUGGAUCUCAGUUUAUAUAGUUAUACUGAGACUUUGAUUUUAUUAAGAAUAAUUGUAUCAUCCAAG